rnacentral:rRNA from 1 species
GAUGAACGCUGGCGGCGUGCCUAAUACAUGCAAGUCGAGCGAACAGACGAGGAGCUUGCUCCUCUGACGUUAGCGGCGGACGGGUGAGUAACACGUGGAUAACCUACCUAUAAGACUGGGAUAACUUCGGGAAACCGGAGCUAAUACCGGAUAAUAUAUUGAACCGCAUGGUUCAAUAGUGAAAGACGGCUUUGCUGUCACUUAUAGAUGGAUCCGCGCCGCAUUAGCUAGUUGGUAAGGUAACGGCUUACCAAGGCAACGAUGCGUAGCCGACCUGAGAGGGUGAUCGGCCACACGGGAACUGAGCCACGGUCCAGACUCCUACGGGAGGCAGCAGUAGGGAAUCGUCGGCAAUGGGCGAAAGCUUGACGGAGCAACGCCGCGUGAGUGACGAAGGUCUUCGGAUCGUAAAACUCUGUUAUUAGGGAAGAACAAAUGUGUAAGUAACUAUGCACGUCUUGACGGUACCUAAUCAGAAAGCCACGGCUAACUACGUG